GAGAGCCGUAUGAUAGGAAACUAUCCCGUACGGUUCGGGAAAAGGAUAAUGUCUGUUUAACAGCAGUUAAUUAUUCUAUUUUAU
rnacentral:ncRNA from 1 species